UACGGAGGGGGCAAGCGUUGUUCGGAGUCACUGGGCGUAAAGGGCGCGUAGGCGGUGCGUAAAGUCAGGCGUGAAAGCCCCGGGCUUAACCUGGGAAUUGCGCUUGAUACUGACGCGCUAGAGAACGGGAGAGGAUGGCGGAAUUCCCAGUGUAGAGGUGAAAUUCGUAGAUAUUGGGAAGAACACCGGUGGCGAAGGCGGCCAUCUGGACCGUUUCUGACGCUGAGGCGCGAAAGCGUGGGGAGCAAACAGG
rnacentral:rRNA from 1 species